rnacentral:rRNA from 1 species
CAGAGGGGCAAGCGUUGUUCGGAAUUACUGGGCGUAAAGGGCGCGUAGGCGGCCUUCUAAGUCGAACGUGAAAUCCCUGGGCUCAACCCGGGAACUGCGUCCGAUACUGGAAGGCUUGAAUCCGGGAGAGGGAUGCGGAAUUCCAGGUGUAGCGGUGAAAUGCGUAGAUAUCUGGAGGAACACCGGUGGCGAAGGCGGCAUCCUGGACCGGUAUUGACGCUGAGGCGCGAAAGCCAGGGGAGCAAACGGGAUUAGAUACCCCGGUAGUCCUGGCCCUAAACGAUGAAUGCUUGGUGUGGCGGGUAUCGAUCCCUGCCGUGCCGAAGCUAACGCAUUAAGCAUUCCGCCUGGGGAGUACGGUCGCAAGGCUG